AAGACUAUACUUUCAGAGAUCAUUUCUGUAGUACGCGACUAGAGAAGUUUCUCUGAUCGUGUAGAGCACCCGAAGCCACGAGAAGAAGUGAGCGUCCUCUCCUGAGCGUGAAGCCGGCUCUAGGUGUCGCUUCUGCGGCUGCCUUUGGCCAUUGAUAAUCGUUCUCCCUUUCCUCUGGAAAGGGUAGAGGGAGAGGAUGCAGUCUGAGUGGU